rnacentral:tRNA from 1 species
CAGAAAGUAGUUUUUGAAAAUAAUAAUUUUGGAGAUUAUAGAUGAUUUAUUAUCCUUUCUGA